ACACGUGUGUGGACGCAGCUCUGUGGCUGUCGCCUGGCGGGCGGAGGCGGGCGGGCACCAGGCUGGUCCGGUUGCACUGGCUCCGUGAGGUCCAGGCAGCCUGGCCUGGCGGGGAGCAGGGAUGGAGGCAGGACAGGCCCCGCCUGGCACUCUUUUGGAGAAAGUCAGAGUCUAAGGCAGAGGGGGGAGGGUCCAGGAGCACGCCUGCCCGGGUGCACCAGAGGGUGCCUGGCACUUCCAGUGUGGCUAGCACACGCCAGUGGGCACAGGAGCUGGCGCUUGUCACACAGCACACUGGCCCUGGCCACAGCUGAGUGACCUUGGCCCCAUCCCCCAGCCUCUCUGAGCUGUCACCCACUGGUGGGGCUCCUUCAGAACACAGUGCGUGCCGGACUGUUCCACACCAUUGUCCACACGGUUGCUGAGUACCGAGCCCGGACUCAGGCACCAGGCCUCCCGCAUUUUCCUGGCUUUGGUGGGGUGAAGUGGCCUCGUGCUUCUGGCCAGAGGUUCCCACCUGCAGAUACUUACAGGAUUAGCGUGAGGAUUAAAUGAGGUAACAAAGGGCAGGGCCUGGCACUAGGCCAGCGUGGGGUAAGCUUAGCUGCCGCUGCUUCUGGACUUCCCCCCACCAGCGGGGGAGGUGUGCCCGGAUGGAGCCCUGCACAGUGGGUGGAGCAGGAGGCAGAGCAGAACGUGCCCCUGGGGAGGCACCCCGCCCGCCCCCGCCCACCGAGCUGGCCCCAGCCUCCACAGCUGUUGAAAGGGUUCAGACCAGGAACAGCGUGCCCAAUCCCGAGUGAUGUCAGGGGAGGCCGGAUCUCAGCCUCAGUCUGCAGAGGAGCUGGGAGGGGCCUAGGGGCCACACCUAUUUGGAAGAUGUCUAUUUGGACACCACCUUAGGGCAUAUUUUUCACUUCAAGGUAAAGGGUUGGAAGAGUCUCCCUCUUUCUUCCCACCCUCGUUACCUGUAUGUAAACUAUACAAACUUCCUCUUGCUUCCUUCCUGCCUGCUUGCCUGCCUUCUUUCCUUCCCAAAAUAUUUGUGACCACUUAUAGGAAAACACCUACAGUAAAAUAAACAAUAAAACAUCAGGAUCAGGAAAAGCACAAUGUAGUAUAGGAUGUCAUGGCCUGGGAGGGGGAUAGAAUGGAACAGAGAUAGGCAGGGUCCUGGGGUCCUUCCGCAGAGAUGAAAAGUGCUGAGCUUCCUAGCAGCCAAGGGAAAAAGGGAAACCCAGCUGCCGAGGUCAUGCUCGCUGUGAUAGGAGGCCAUCUUAUCUUACAAUGGCCACAGUUGUCCUUGCUGCUGGGUCAGAGUGUUUGCGACCUGGAUGGAUGGGUGGGUGAGGAUGAGAGGCCUUUCAGGGACAGGCCUUGGGCCUGGCUUUAGGGAAACAGGGCAGACAGUGAGGACUGAGGCUUUCUCUUGGGUGGUGAUGCAGGCUGGCUGUGGGAACAGAGAGAGGAAAGCUCACCCCCGGAGUGAGUCAGCAGCCGCCUGUCCCUCUGUAGACCCUGGGACAGACCUCCCUGGGCGGGCACCUCGGAGGCCAGGCCAGGCAGGGUGAGCCCCUGGGCGCCUUUCCCACUAACUGCAGAAGGAUCUUCCUGUGUCUUGUUCUGAGCCGUGGUUUCCGGGGAUGGGCGCUCUGGAAACCUCAGGGCUUGUUGACAGGAUGCAGUGGGCCCAGGCCUGGGAGGCCCCACCGUGCUCUGCCGGGGCUCACCCCUCUGAGCAGGAGCAUCCUAGCCUCAUGGAGCCCUGCAGACGGGCCUCUCCACGUCUCGGUCUCCUCAUCUACAGGGCGGGGAUGAGGGCCGGCUGGGCUCGCGGUCAGUGCCCACCGAGUGUUUGUGGGCACUGCUGGCCAUGUGGUGGCGAUGAGCAGGCCUGUGGUGCGGGGCUGGUGUGCACACUGGCACGGUGGCUGCCUGGCCGUCAGUGACAGAGGACCCGCUCAGGGUGGGCGUGGACCGUAAUUGGCGCUGGGCUUGCCCCAAACCCUCGCUUAGCACCCGUAAGUAUAGGGCGCCCUGUGGUUAUCCGGGGAGGAUGGGCCCUGGGAGCUCCAGGCUCCAGGCGACGGUCUCUGCUCUCCAGAACCCCGCCCCGUUUUGCUGGGGGCUCCCGAGAGGGCGAAGGCCACUCCCUGAGACGACAGACCUACUGACAGACAGAGCAGGCCCUCGGUGGGGUCCCAGGCCCCUCCGCUGCCAGGGCCGACCCGAGUCAGCAGGUCUGCAGCCCGAGGCGGGGUUGGCGGCGGCCGCAGGACAAAUUGGAGGGUUGUGAUCGGACAGCACAUAGCUUUCCACGUGCGUCUUCGGAUUCCCCUUCGUGUGCGCCUGUUGCCCUGGCUGGGGCUGCUCACAUCUGGAACAGCGCGAGGCGUGUGGGGAGCGGCUGCCGGCCGGCCCUGGCCCUCUGCCUGGGGCUUCCGCGGCUGCAGCCUGGAGGCUAGGGGCACAGUCUCUGGAACCUGGGCCUCAGGUCUCAGAGGGGCUCCGCGGGCUUGGAACCGUCUCCUGGACAGAACUCCAAGGAGCCGGGCACAGGGACGUCAGAACUGCCCACGGGAGGUGGUAAGAUGAGCGUUCGGGGGCCAGUUCCUAAGCAUCUCGAGCCGGGCGGGCUUCGUGGGGAGACCCUCAAUGGGUCCUGUUGGCUUGGCAGCCAGCGAUCCUCGUCCCCUCCCCUCACCCGAAGGAGUCAGAGUCCGGAAGCAGAUGACAAAGCCAGUGGAGCCAGCUUAGCAGUCAGGCCGAGCUGAGGUUGGAACCGGCUCAGCCCUUCCUACAGGAGAAGUGACUGUUCUGAGAUUAAAUGAGUGGCCAGGACUCCUUGAGGCUGGGGAUGGGGUCUCCAGUCCGGUCCUCACCUCCUCUGGACCCGGCCGCUCUCUGGGCACGAGAGCCAAGUCCAGCUCUGGCGGGAGGUCCUGGGCCGGGCAGGGUGGAGUGCGCCCUCACCUCCCUGCUCUGGGUGCUGCGCGGACUCUCGUGGCUGCUCCCCCUCACAGGUAGGGCUGAGGGGAACCUGCCCCGCCCCCACGCGUGGCCCCGUGGCCUGCGCCCCGCGGAGUCUCGGCGCAGGAGUUGAAGACUCUUCAGUGCCCGGCACCGCGCGUGCACGCUCACACCCGCCGUGGAAGGGGCCCCGUUCCACCGGGAGAGGAGGAGCCUGGGCCCACGGGCCAGUUACUAGUUAUAGGGUCCCUGUGAGGGUCAUCGGUGAGGCCCUUCUCCGUGGGGGUGGCACUUGCCCUGGGAGAACCAGGCAGGGGCAUCUGUGGGUACAAGCAACCCAGCAGGUGGUGACAAAGGCUGAGCACCCGCUGUGCGCCAGGCCCAGGGGUCCGGCAGCGAGUGUGCGCACAGCCAGGCCUCACGGGGCUGGCGUUCAGGCGAGAGACGGACAGUAAGCGAAACAGGCGGACGAAGGUGUCUUCUGACAGGGAUCCGCGGAAGAGGACGGAGCUGGGCGGAGUGACAGAGGGACCGCGCAGGAGGGCCACGUGGCCUGGGUGGUCCUUCCAGAAAAGCCUCUCCCUGGUGUCCUGCCGCUGCCGAGCGGGUCUGUCCGUACAGUGAGAUGCGAGGCAGCCGUGAAAAGGAGUGAGGCACUGGUCCAUGCUAUGACAGGUGCGAACCUUGACGACACCAGGCUACGUGAAUGAGCCGGUCAUGAAAGGCCACGGAGUGUGUGGUCCCGUUUACGUGACUGUCCGCAAGAGGCAGGUCCACAGACACAGGAAGCAGGCUGGUGCUUGUCCAGGCUGGGGCGUGGUGCCCACCGUGACGGCUUCACGGGGACAGGGUUUCUUUCUGGGACGAUGAAAGUGUUCCAAACUUAGAUUGUGGGUGAUGUCUGCACAACUUUGGAUAUGCUGGGAUUACCGAGUUGCACACUUUAAAUGGGUGAAUCUUAUGGAAUGUGAGUGAUACCUCAAUAAAACCAUUUAAAAACAAA